AGUGAACGCUGGCGGUAGGCCUAACACAUGCAAGUCGAACGGCAGCACAGUAGGAGCUUGCUCUUACGGGUGGCGAGUGGCGGACGGGUGAGGAAUACAUCGGAAUCUACUUUUUCGUGGGGGAUAACGUAGGGAAACUUACGCUAAUACCGCAUACGACCUACGUGUGAAAGCAGGGGAUCUUCGGACCUUGCGCGAUUGAAUGAGCCGAUGUCGGAUUAGCUAGUUGGCGGGGUAAAGGCCCACCAAGGCGACGAUCCGUAGCUGGUCUGAGAGGAUGAUCAGCCACACUGGAACUGAGACACGGUCCAGACUCCUACGGGAGGCAGCAGUGGGGAAUAUUGGACAAUGGGCGCAAGCCUGAUCCAGCCAUACCGCGUGGGUGAAGAAGGCCUUCGGGUUGUAAAGCCCUUUUGUUGGGAAAGAAAAGCAGCAGGUUAAUACCCCGCUGUUCUGACGGUACCCAAAGAAUAAGCACCGGCUAACUUCGUG
rnacentral:rRNA from 1 species